rnacentral:rRNA from 1 species
UACGGAGGAUGCAAGCGUUAUCCGGAAUCAUUGGGCGUAAAGCGCGUGUAGGCGGCCCGGUAAGUCCGCUGUGAAAGUCGGGGGCUCAACCCUCGAAUGCCGGUGGAUACUGUCGGGCUAGAGUGCGGAAGAGGCGAGUGGAAUUCCUGGUGUAGCGGUGAAAUGCGCAGAUAUCAGGAGGAACACCAAUUGCGAAGGCAGCUCGCUGGGACGUGACUGACGCUGAGACGCGAAAGCGUGGGGAGCAAACAGG